UACGUAGGGCGCAAGCGUUGUCCGGAAUUAUUGGGCGUAAAGAGCUCGUAGGCGGUUUGUCGCGUCUGCUGUGAAAACCUAAGGCUCAACCUUGGGCUUGCAGUGGGUACGGGCAGACUAGAGUGCGGUAGGGGUGACUGGAAUUCCUGGUGUAGCGGUGGAAUGCGCAGAUAUCAGGAGGAACACCGAUGGCGAAGGCAGGUCACUGGGCCGCAACUGACGCUGAGGAGCAAAAGCAUGGGGAGCGAACAGG
rnacentral:rRNA from 1 species